GCCCAGGUGGCGAAACUGGCAGACGCACUACCUUGAGGUGGUAGCGCCCGUAAGGGUGUGCGAGUUCAAAUCUCGCCCUGGGCA
rnacentral:tRNA from 1 species